rnacentral:lncRNA from 1 species
CCUAGCUAAAAAAUGUAAUUAUAAGUAUGGAAUGCUUCUUUUUUUAACUUCAUAGGGUUGUAAAAGCGUUGACCGUUCGCACAUUUUUAGUAUGAAGCGCUUCCGAUCUUCAUACAAAAUGUACUUCGGUCAACGCUUUUACACCCCAAUAAAGUUACAAAAAGAAGCAUUUAAUUCUUAAAUAAUUAUGUAUCCACUGAUUAAGAAUGUCCUCUUUUUGUUGUCAACCUGUUUUCCAUUUUACCACUAAGGGGAAGGUGUGAUUUUUUUUUAUUGCGUGAACUCAUAAGUGGUUCACGCCUAUAAAGUUGAUGUGUUUUCAUUAUUUUUGGUUUGUUUCAGUUAAAUUGAUAUAUGAGUAUGAGCAGGGAUAUACUACUGUUGCCCUAAGCUAUAUACUCUAUUUGGUGUAAAACCAUUAAAUUAAAAUUAGUCAAAUCCGAUUGAAUACUAAACAGGGUUAAUAAAAUAUUCAAAUGCAGUAAAAAAAAUCUGAGUGAUAAACAUACAUAUGCUGGGUGUUUCAACAUGUUCAAAGCAUCUUUAUUCUUUCUUUGGUGUUUCUAUAGAAAAUAUUGGAGACUUGAGGUUACAGGGUUACUUAAGUUUUUACACAGGAAAAAAGGAUGACAAUUUGUGAUGCGUUAAGUUCCAGUGAUGGUUAUUUUCUAAUAUGCAAUGCAAUGUUAUUUGUCUAUAGUACUGUACAGGAUAAAACUUUACUCAUGCCAAAUAUUUCAUUAUGUGAAACAAAGAUGAG